rnacentral:rRNA from 1 species
AUAACACUGGAAAACAGGUGCUAAUACCGCAUAACCAUAGUUACCGCAUGGUAACUAUGUAAAAGGUGGCUAUGCUACCGCUUUUGGAUGGGCCCGCGGCGCAUUAGCUAGUUGGUGGGGUAAAGGCUUACCAAGGCAAUGAUGCGUAGCCGAACUGAGAGGUUGAUCGGCCACAUUGGGACUGAGACACGGCCCAAACUCCUACGGGAGGCAGCAGUAGGGAAUCUUCCACAAUGGGCGAAAGCCUGAUGGAGCAACGCCGCGUGGGUGAAGAAGGUCUUCGGAUCGUAAAACCCUGUUGUUAGAGAAGAAAGUGCGUGAGAGUAACUGUUCACGUUUCGACGGUAUCUAACCAGAAAGCCACGGCUAACUACGUGCCAGCAGCCGCGGUAAUACGUAGGUGGCAAGCGUUAUCCGGAUUUAUUGGGCGUAAAGGGAACGCAGGCGGUCUUUUAAGUCUGAUGUGAAAGCCUUCGGCUUAACCGGAGUAGUGCAUUGGAAACUGGGAGACUUGAGUGCAGAAGAGGAGAGUGGAACUCCAUGUGUAGCGGUGAAAUGCGUAGAUAUAUGGAAGAACACCAGUGGCGAAAGCGGCUCUCUGGUCUGUAACUGACGCUGAGGUUCGAAAGCGUGGGUAGCAAACAGGAUUAGAUACCCUGGUAGUCCACGCCGUAAACGAUGAAUGCUAAGUGUUGGAGGGUUUCCGCCCUUCAGUG